GCAAAGCUGAGCUGUGGGACCUUCGGAAGGCGGGAGCCAAGCGUGGCCGCUUUAAGAGCGCGGAGCGCGCGUUCCCGUCGCCGGCUGCCCCGGGCUGCGCGCCCCCGUCGUCACAGCGCGUCCCCGCCGCUGCGCGCCCCCUGCUCGCUCGCUCGCCCGCUCGCCGGCUUUAAAGUCUCUGCCAGGAUCCAUGCUCACAUGUUACUUCCUGUAUGGAGGCAUGGCCAGUUUCCAGCCCCGCGCUCCCGAUUCCUCCCCAGCCUGCGCCGGAGCCACAACUUUCAGGAGCAUGGACUGAAGGCGCCCUCGCCCCAGCGCCCCUCUGAGAUCCUUUGUGUUUUCCUGCGUUUCCUCCGGCCGUUUCUAUUCUGGGGGGGCCCUUCGAUCCCCCCGCCUCUGCCCUCCCCUUCCCCGAUCGCAAACAUGCCUCCUUCCUUCCCGGGGCCCUGGAAGGAGCUGCCUGCCUGAAGCCCGGAGACGCCGCGCCGCGAUCAGCCCGCCGCCGCCCGCCGGCUCUCCGGCUGCGCUGUGCUGCCGACUCAAGUUGGAGAUCCUCGGCUGCUCGCCGUCGCCGCCCGCGGUCCCUGCCUGCCCCGGGCCCCGGGCUUCGUCGCCGUCCGCCCACUCCUCGCCCUGCCCGCUCCGCUCUCUGCUGUUUGAACGGCAACCAGCCCUUCUCCGCCGAGAGGAUCGUCCCCAGCGUGGCUUUGCAUCCUCAGUCACUUUUUGAGAUUUUCCGGGGGGGCGCUCGGCGGCUUCCCGGAUUCCAGGGGGACUCGCCGCUGAGCGUGGGGGGCCCGUGGAGCUGGCGAGCCGGGAGAGCGCCCAGGCUUAGCGGAGGCUCGCACGGAAGCAAGAACUUAUUCAACAAGUUUACCCCCCCUGCUUUCUUCUUUUCGAUGUGCGUUUUCGGACAUGCGGAGGUUACUGGAACCGUGUUGGUGGAUUUUGUUCCUGAAAAUCACCAGUUCCGUGCUCCAUUAUGUGGUGUGCUUCCCCGGUGAGUGCCGGCGGCCGAGGGCACGCAGCCCCGGCCCGCGCGCGCUGGGUAUGC
rnacentral:lncRNA from 1 species